rnacentral:rRNA from 1 species
CACGUAGGGCGCGAGCGUUGUCCGGAAUUAUUGGGCGUAAAGAGCUCGUAGGCGGCCUGUUGCGUCCGCUGUGAAAGCCCGGGGCUUAACCCCGGGUCGGCAGUGGAUACGGGCAGGCUAGAGGUAGGUAGGGGAGAAUGGAAUUCCCGGUGUAGCGGUGAAAUGCGCAGAUAUCGGGAGGAACACCGGUGGCGAAGGCAGAUCUCUGGGCCGUAACCGACGCUGAGGAGCGAAAGCAUGGGGAGCGAAACAGG